rnacentral:rRNA from 1 species
UACAGAGAGUGCGAGCGCUAAUCGGAAUUACUGGGCGUAAAGCGCACGUAGGCGGCUUGGUAUGUCGGGUGUGAAAUCCCCGGGCUCAAACUGGGAACUGCAUCCGAAACUGCCUUGCUAGAGUAUGGGAGAGGGAAGUGGAAUUUCCGGUGUAGCAUUGAAAGGCGUAGAUAUCGGAAGGAACACCAGUGGCGAAGGCGACUUCCUGGACCAAUACUGACGCUCAGGUGCGAAAGCGUGGGGAGCAAACAGG